UGGGGAAUAUUGCACAAUGGGCGGAAGCCUGAUGCAGCGACGCCGCGUGGGGGAUGACGGCCUUCGGGUUGUAAACCUCUGUCCUUGGGGACGAAAGAAAUGACGGUACCCAAGGAGGAAGCCCCGGCUAACUACGUGCCAGCAGCCGCGGUAAUACGUAGGGGGCGAGCGUUGUCCGGAAUGAUUGGGCGUAAAGGGCGCGUAGGCGGCCUGUUAAGUCUGGAGUGAAAUUCCUGCUUUCAAGGUAGGAAGUGCUUUGGAAACUGGCGGGCUGGAGUGCAGGAGAGGUUAGCGGAAUUCCCGGUGUAGCGGUGAAAUGCGUAGAGAUCGGGAGGAACACCAGUGGCGAAGGCGGCUAACUGGACUGUAACUGACGCUGAAGCGCGAAAGUGUGGGGAGCAAACAGG
rnacentral:rRNA from 1 species